UACGUAGGGACCAAGCGUUGUUCGGAUUUACUGGGCGUAAAGGGCGCGUAGGCGGUGCGGUAAGUCACUUGUGAAAUCUCUGAGCUUAACUCAGAACGGCCAAGUGAUACUGCAGUACUAGAGUGCAGAAGGGGCAAUCAGAAUUCUUGGUGUAGCGGUGAAAUGCGUAGAUAUCAAGAGGAAUACCUGAGGUGAAGACGGGUUGCUAGGCUGACACUGACGCUGAGGCGCGAAAGCGUGGGGAGCGAACAGG
rnacentral:rRNA from 1 species